GACGAACGCUGGCGGCGUGCCUAAUACAUGCAAGUUGAGCGCUGAAGGUUGGUACUUGUACCGACUGGAUGAGCAGCGAACGGGUGAGUAACGCGUGGGGAAUCUGCCUUUGAGCGGGGGACAACAUUUGGAAACGAAUGCUAAUACCGCAUAAAAACUUUAAACACAAGUUUUAAGUUUGAAAGAUGCAAUUGCAUCACUCAAAGAUGAUCCCGCGUUGUAUUAGCUAGUUGGUGAGGUAAAGGCUCACCAAGGCGAUGAUACAUAGCCGACCUGAGAGGGUGAUCGGCCACAUUGGGACUGAGACACGGCCCAAACUCCUACGGGAGGCAGCAGUAGGGAAUCUUCGGCAAUGGACGAAAGUCUGACCGAGCAACGCCGCGUGAGCGAAGAAGGUUUUCGGAUCGUAAAACUCUGUUGGUAGAGAAGAACGUUGGUGAGAGUGGAAAGCUCAUCAAGUGACGGUAACUACCCAGAAAGGGACGGCUAACUACGUG
rnacentral:rRNA from 1 species